GGCGAGGUGGGGCGCCGUUGCCAGGGGGACGCAGCUGCGCCUCAGGGACUCUUCUCUCCCAGUCUUCCCUGGCGGGACGGCGGGGCGGCCGCAGCGUCUAGAGGCGUCCUGAGGGGCCGGCCCGGCUCCUCCCCACGUGACAGCGGGCCGGGCCUGGGCAGAAGAGGGGGUUUUGUUCUGCGCAGUCUCAUCGCGAGUCUGCCGUGCGGCGGGCUGGGAAUGGAAGCGGGCUCGAGCUCCUCCCAAAGCGCCAGUCACCGCGUACCACUGUGAGCCAGGCACUGCGCCGGCUCCUGCUCCCCUCCCCCUUAACAAUGGGGGCCGUCACGGACGUAGCGCUUCAAGGGAGAAGAGUGUGAAGCAAGAAGACAGACACUAUCUGCCUUCCUUCCUGUCUUUCCAUGUGGGAAUGGGCACGAAUUAUCUUUUCAUGUCUGAGACUGUCACAUACCCUCUGUCAAAUUUGCCCAUUUUUCUUCUGCCAGGGGAAGGUAAAGCCACUGAGAAUGCUUGUGUUUAUUUCUUGUUCACCAAAACAACAUUCGAUGCACAAAAAUCAUUGUUUCUAAGACAGUGAAUGCACGGUGUUGUCAGAAGGAUCCAAGCUCUAGAAGAAGCUGGUGCUCAAGGCUCACCUGUAUUAACCCUUAAUUGAUGGCUCCUCUGGAUAAUCCAUUCAGUGGGUGUAUUGGGAAAAUCUGUUGCAAAAACAAAUCUUUGGCUACGCAGGAAAGGUCCUCCGAGCUUAGGUGCCCUGGGAGCUUGUCCUUAGGGUAAGACAUUACCCAGAGAUACAAUAACUACCAACCAUCUUCAAAGGAGAGCA